rnacentral:lncRNA from 12 species
CGCCAAGUGCAUGUGCAUUUAUGCACAGAGGUUACAAUGCCAUCUCUCACAGUGUCAACAGACACACUGCAGUUCGAUAUCAUCCAGUGAGGCUUGUGUCAGGUGAUCACAGUCCAGCUGCACAAUGAAGGGCCAGUGGCCUGUGAGUGGAGCAUCAGACAGGAGGAACGGCCAAAGAUGGUACAAGCCUGGGACAGAACAUGCAAACAAAGAGCCAGAAUCAUUUUUGUUUUUGGAAUAAGUCUGAUGAAUCAUUCACUAUUGACAAGCACAUCCCACUGUACCUCAGACGACAGGCUCAGCUGAAACAGCAGCCUCCUCCAGUUGUCUUUGAGUUAUUGCCCUCAGAUGGCACACUCUAUCCUGGUGACAGAACCAACGUGCAGGUCAAAUUCAGCCCAGCAGAGGGGGUAAUGAAACAUAGACACUAGCUAUGAUUACACAUUUACUAGUUUAACAUAUUAGCUUAAUAGGUUCAUAGGGUUUUCCCUGUUUUGUUAGCUUUUUUUUUUCUCUUUAAUAUCAUUUUUUUUUUCUUAGACAGUAAUGAGAUCACAUACUGUCAAUAUGAAAGUAUCAACAUGAAAAUUCCUAUUAUGAACUAAUAUUUCUCCUCAGAUUAUUUCACACCAAAUUAUAUGAUCUAUAUUUUAGCAUUUGCUGCAUUUACUGUGUACUCUAUAUAUUUUCAGUUCUCCCAGUGUAUCUUAUUUCUCAACCAUUUGGUUCAAUGUAGUGUUGGACACUGUCAUUCCCAUUGCAUAUUCAUCGGCUUCCAUUGUUUUGUUUUGUUUUGUUUUCUGUUCUGCUUCUCAGAUCUUGCGAAUGUUAAAAGGAUAUGAUCCUCAAAAUGUGUUACUUCUACCUCCCCGUGCCCCUGGCGAGACUCUGCCCCCAGAACUGUUGGACUUCUACAAAGAGCAGAGCUCACAGAAACCCAAACAGGGCACCGUAUACAGCAAAACAGGUCUAUAUCAAGUCCCAAAUCUAAAUUAAAAUUAAACAUUUAUUUAAAUAUAUUUAUUAUAGUUUAUAUUUAUUUAGUUUAAUCUUAUUUUUUAUGAUCUAUUUAAAAUUCUCUAUAUGUAUCUCUUUAUUAUUUAUUUUUUCACAGAUCCCACUUUGAAAAACCCUGUAAAAUUCUCUUUAUCUCUUUAUUAUUUAUUUUUCAACAGAUCCCACUUUGAAAAACCCUGGUCUAUUUAAUUAGAAAUUAUCUCAAAGGCACAUUUUUUAAUAAACAAAAGUUUUUAAAGGAUGUUUGCUUGUGUUAUGCUGUUUUUUUUUAGCUACACAAAACACAUCUGACAUAGAACAUUAUCACAGGUUUUGCCUUUUGGCAAGAUUUAAUUAAAAAGAAAAUCUAAUAGAUCAAACUUGUUUUUAAGAUUCCGGGGAGGGUCUUGAAGAUGAUGACAAGGGGGGAGACACCUGCACCAUCUGAGGGUGAUACUCGGCGGCAAAGGUAUGGUUCAGCCUAGGGCAAAAGUAAUUUAAAUGUGUUUGCAUUCUUUAUGAGAUUGGUAUUAUGAUUCAGUACAUUAUUACACAUAAAUGAGAGUAUAUGUGUCUUCACAGGCCAGACUGAAGACAACAUCAGCACUGGCACGGCAGUGGGGGAUCUGCAAUACAACCCUGUGUCGUAAUUUGUGAUAUUUACAAAUUAUUUAAAAAUGAUAUACAUUUUAAAUAAAUUAUGUUCUUUUGAACUUUCUGUUCAUUAAAUAAUCCUGAAAAAAAAAUAUGUAUGAUGGUUUCCAAAAAAAAAAUUUGCACACACAGACAAUGAUCAAAACACCCGUGUUUCGAAUUGGAAGUUGUAGAUUAAUAGUUACAAGUGUGUAGAAUAACAUUCACACAAAGAAAAUGACAAGUGUUUACGACAUAUUUACUUAUGCACUUUACUUCAGUUUCGCUGCACAACGUCAAGUAGGCACUUACAGCCUCUCAGAUCUGGCAGUAGAAGUUCAAAUCCUAGCGCUCUGACUUCUGUUAAUAUGAAUGUUUAUAUGACAAGUUUUCACAUUCAGAUUUUCAACCUCUCGAGUUUAGCUACUGAUUUACCUCCAUAAUACCAAAUAGUAAUUUUGUCCUGCUUGCCCCCAUGCCAUAGCUUGGCGACUGCCACCGUGUUGUGAAUGACAGAUUUAAGACACUGUACUGCCACUCACCAAGUAAAAUGCUCCAGAUCAUCCUAUCAUCACCAUAUUUAUGUUUUUAACCUGUUUAACAUCUACAGUGCCUUCAAGCUAAGGUGCUUAACACCAUUCUGAUAAAAAUUCUAGAUUCUUUGAAUUAAUUAAUUU